GACAGAGGUCCCGAGCGUUGUUCGGAUUCAUUGGGCGUAAAGGGUGUGUAGGAGGCUAGGUAAGUCAGGUGUGAAAUCUCAGAGCUUAACUCUGAAACUGCGCUUGAUACUGCUUGGCUAGAGGAUCGGAGGGGGUAACGGAAUUUAUGGUGUAGCAGUGAAAUGCGUAGAUAUCAUAAGGAACACCGGUGGCAAAGGCGGUUACCUGGAAGAUUCCUGACUCUGAAACACGAAAGCCAGGGGAGCAAACGGG
rnacentral:rRNA from 1 species